rnacentral:rRNA from 1 species
AUUGAACGCUGGCGGCAUGCCUUACACAUGCAAGUCGAACGGCAGCACGGACUUCGGUCUGGUGGCGAGUGGCGAACGGGUGAGUAAUGCAUCGGAACGUACCCGGUAGUGGGGGAUAACUACCCGAAAGGGUGGCUAAUACCGCAUAUACUGUGCGCAGGAAAGCAGGGGACCUUCGGGCCUUGUGCUACCGGAGCGGCCGAUGUCAGAUUAGGUAGUUGGUGGGGUAACGGCCUACCAAGCCUGCGAUCUGUAGCGGGUCUGAGAGGAUGAUCCGCCACACUGGGACUGAGACACGGCCCAGACUCCUACGGGAGGCAGCAGUGGGGAAUUUUGGACAAUGGGCGCAAGCCUGAUCCAGCCAUGCCGCGUGAGUGAAGAAGGCCUUCGGGUUGUAAAGCUCUUUCGGACGGAAAGAAAUCGUGCAGGCUAAUACCCUGCGCGGAUGACGGUACCGUCAUAAGAAGCACCGGCUAACUACGUGCCAGCAGCCGCCGUAAUAC